rnacentral:misc_RNA from 1 species
CAGAUCGGCCAGGUGAGCGGCGCCGGUGCACUUGGCGUCCAGGACGGUGCUCAGGUGCUCCGGUGUCGCGUCACGCAGGUG